rnacentral:rRNA from 2 species
UACGUAGGGUCCGAGCGUUGUCCGGAGUUACUGGGCGUAAAGCGCGCGCAGGCGGCGGUAUAAGCAUGGCGUGAAAGCCCCAGGCUCAACCUGGGAGGGUCGUCGUGGACUGUACCGCUUGAGGGCGGUAGGGGCUGGUGGAAUGCCUGGUGUAGUGGUGAAAUGCGUAGAGAUCAGGCGGAACACCCGUGGCGAAGGCGGCCAGCUGGGCCGUCCCUGACGCUGAGGCGCGAAGGCGUGGGGAGCGAACGGG